GAGAUCCAGGUUUGGGAGCUGGGAUGGGGUCUGGGAUUGGAUCAGGCAUGAAAUUGGACCACCGUGGUCAUGGGCAUGGCUUCCUGUGGUGCCUGGACAGGACCAGCCUGGCACAGCUGCGCUGACACCAGCUGGCACCCAGGUUGGGGAGCUGGCACCCAGGUUUGGGAUCUGGGAUGGGAUCUGGGAUGGGAUUGGACUGGCAUGGCCGUGGGCACGGCUUCCUGCAGCACCUGGACAAGGCCAGCCUGGCACAGCCCCUCUGGCAUCAGGGGCUGGCGCGGGGUCGGGCUCUGGGGUCCAGGUUUGGGCUCUGGGAUGGCAUCGAGACCCUGAACCACAGCAAGGGCUUCCUGUGGCACCUGGGUGAGCCCAGCCUGGCACAGCCACACGGACACGGGCUGGGCUCAGGGACCUGGGGUCCAGGUUUGGGAUCCUGGAUCUGCUCUCCUGCCGCCCCACUUCGUGCUUGGGGUCAGGGUUUGGGAUCUGGGGUGGGACGGAGCCCCGGAACCACCACGGGCACACCUGGACGAGGCCGGGCUGGCGCAGCCACACGGACACGGGGUGGGAUCAGGACUGGGGUGUGGGUCUGGGAUCCAGGAUGGGACCUGGGCCUGGGAUCCAGGAUGGGAUCUGGGUCUGGGAUCCGGGAUUGGGAUCUGGAUCUGGGAUCCGGGAUCCAGGAUGG